GAUUUUUAGUAUUAUAAUGAGCCCUUUGUUCCAGUACCUCUGAUUCUGUUUUUUGUUUUCAGGUUUCCUCUAUCUAAGACUGUCUGCUCCUUAUCAUUGCAGAUGGGCAUUCGACACAUAACAUUCACUUUUGCUUAGGCUUUGCAUAGUAGUUUCUAGGUCAAACCUUACACCAGGACAUCAUUCUUGUGGCAGAAAGCCACCUCUGUCUCUCCCCAAAGUCUCUGCUCUGUGACAAUUUGAUAAGGAUGGGCCCAGCAGAGAGACACAUCCUUACCCUAUGUCUUUAGGUAACCUGAGCUGGAUACAUUCCUGAGGGAGGGGGGAAACCUGCUCCCUCUGCCUACGUGACUGGCAUCACAUACCUGAGUGAGGGGCUUCCUUCCUGCUGGGCUAGAGUCUGCCCAGCAACUAGUGAUGUAUUUGAAAUUGGUUGGCUGACAGCCAACAGGUGCUGACCUCCAUUGGACCAGGUAAAUGAGGUCACAAGGGCUAUAUACGUUAAGGAAGGACUGCCAGGAGGAGGGGGCAGCAGCCAUGAGGGAUACUUAGGAACAAAGAAGAGCUGUACCAUCUGAAACUUGCUCUGUCUCUCAAAACUCAUGAUCAAGGAACUGCCUUCCUCCAGAGGGAAUCUCCAACAGCCUCUGGAUGAUACUUACUCUGUAUCCGUAGGAUGUUCCCCUCUCCUGCAGGUAUCUGGUGCUUUCUGCCAUUUGCUUGUUGCUUCUUUCCUGCGGUCCUUGUUGUACGGCAAUCAUCUGGACCCCUCAAAGAAGAGUCACCAGCAAAUAAAAUGAGAUAGCAAAAUAAAACAGAAGGCAACUGAGGAAUAGGCACAGGCCAGAAGGAAGCAAAAGCCCUGAAAUGGGGUACCCGUCCUGUACGUGAGCGGUGGGGAAGGGGGCACGAGGCGCGAGAAGUGGGGAAGGGUGUAUUCCCCACCCCGCCUUGAAACCUUGCCCUGCGACUUCAGGACUUCAUGCUGUGGGAUAGCUUGCACCAACAUUCACGGCAAUGAAACCCUAUUUACAGGAAAAUGAGACCGCUGCACCGGCAUCAGCAGCCAGCACUGUUGUUGAACCGGUCUUGAGGGCCCAAGUGUCCCACUGGGCUGAGUCCCAUCCGCCUCACAAGUCUCUUGUUCGUGGCUACGCUGCACCACACCAGACAUCAGCAGCAAACAUAGAACUGGUCGAACAGGGCCAGGAAACCAGCAGGACAUAUUUCAGCUCUGACACCUCUCCCAACACAUCUGAGGACCACUUUAAGAGAGAUGCUCUGAUACACGUCUGGAUUUGGCAUCGCAUGUGUCCAUUGGCAAGUUCAAUUUUUUUCCUCUUGUGCAGCUAGUAGUUACCCCUCAAUGAAAUGUAUUGCCAAAGUGACUGGAAAGGGUGAAGAGGACACAAAGGACUUGUCCAGCCUUCCUCUGGCCACACACGGGGAAUGGUGUUAUCCCCUCCUGCUGCCUGCAGAUCCCAUCCGUGAGCUCCAGCAAACACCUGGGGACCUCGACUGGUUCUAGCUUCGCUGGAUGGAACCUGACUGUUAUUCUCUUGCUCCAGGCACAACACUCUAAACCUGACUUUUCUAAUUAAACUUGAGCUAGAGCCAGGGGCGGGCAAUUAUUCUGGGUGGAGGGCCUCCCGACACCAGGAGCCCAGAAGAGUUGCCUGUCUGGAUUCAAGAUGAGAGCUUCUCCCUGCCCUCCAAGCCACCUGUUGAAGAGAGCCACCUUAAGAUUGGGAAAGCAGUUUGGCCAGUGGCCAAGAGCCUGGGAGGGGCAGGGCUGGAGAAGGGGCACAUUCACAGGUGCCACAAACAUCAGUCCCUAUGUGGCCAUUUGCUCGGGGCCCCCAAAGACAGCUAAGCACAAGAAAGUGGACGCAGAUUCCUCUCUCCAUCUUUCCUGGCUGCAGCCAGCAUCCUGUGAGAGACAGUGGGACCACUCCUCUGUGCUGGAAACUCCAGGGUGUCACAAGGACAACACCUCCCACAGCCUGUUCCCACCACCAAGUUGGGGCGUGGAAGUGAAUAAGGCUGCUAGAUGACAAUGUAGGUUGUGCCCUUGUCAUCCUUUGGCGAAAGACUGUGAGGGAAUGAGGCGGGAUAGCAUGGCAGGAGGCUGGGGUGCCUCGCUUACUGGAUCAUAGGGAAUACCUGGCGGGGAAAGUCUCUGGGGUUCAGAACAGAGAGAAUUGAACCCCCGACUUGUGACAAGCAGGACAAUGCAAGUCAAGGUGAGGGAGGGUGCCGGUGUGAUGUCAGGGUAGCCAAGUCAUCUAACUUGUCAGGUUCAAGUGUGGGCUCUUCCCUUGUCCAGUAUACUCUGGUCUUUCUCUGAAAGUGUGUGUUCAAAUCCCACUCUUAGCAUUAGCUUUUGGCUGGCUACUCUUACGUCUGAAUAACAGCCUCUUCCCAGCAACAGACUGUCUUCCAGCAAGCUUAGCAGCACCAGCACCUGCACUGCUCAUUCUCUGGGGGCUUGCCCCUCAAGAGGUGGGGCUGCACUUCCACCACUCCUGCAUUGGCAGUGUGGUUGGACUUCCAUGACAGCCUUCUCUCCUGCUUGAAGCCUCCCCACACCUGUGCUGAAGGCCUCAGGAGCAGGGAUUACUGGCCCGCCAAGUGCCAGAGCCCCCAGCGGUCCCAUCACUGGCAAAAUGGAUCCGAGUCUGAGAUGAAGGAGUGCUAGGGGCCACGGAGGAACAAAGUGUGGUAGAGAGAAUGCAGCUACCUAGCUUCAGGACUAUCUCUUGCAAGACAGCAUGAAGUGGAGGCUCAGGAAUGAUAGGGAAGCUGACCCUGGCAACUCAGGGAGGACUGGGGAGUGUAGGGAAUGGGGAUCCAAAGGCUGUAUUCCUCUGCUGGGAAUUAAACCAAGGAAGGGGCAGUGAAAGAAUCAAAUUCUGGCCACUAGACCACCAACGACUGCAGCUGGAAAUGUAGCCCAUGCCCACCCCCAUCUGUCCUUCUGUCCUGGUCAUAGGCAACACCUCCCAGGAGCACAAGGGAUUACAUGAGGCAGGCCCUGGGAGGUCUUUGAGCCCCUAGCAGCAGGGCUGGCUGGCUUGCCUUGCAAUGGCAAGUCUGCAAGGAGCUGUACUAGGAAGCAUGAAGUAUGGAGACAGGCUGGCCUUUCAAGUCCAGGAUGCAUUGGCCAGUGAUGAGGCAGGUUUGAAGGUCAUGGGAUUUGGCUGUCAGUGGACUGAUUUAUCCAUCAAUUCUCUUAUGUGGACUGGCUUGGCAGGUUUCUAAAAUUCAUGAUUCCUUUCCUAGCUGAAGCAAGCUGGGGGUGGGGAGCAGGGUGGUUUAUGUGCUUCGUGAUGUAGUUGGUACUAGUGCUAUGCGAGGAAUCUUAGCGGGGAUAAGGCACAACGCGACAUUUAUUGGAACAUAACACAUAAAACAUGCAACAUGAAAAGAAUAAAGAGCAGUAAGGUUAUUUGCUUCACUCAUUCCCAUGCAUAUUCCGUCAUUCAUUCAUUCAUACAAAAGAAACAAGCACACACACACACACACACACAGAGUUAGACAGUCCUGCAAAGGUUAAGGUGUUGCCAAGUUCUAAAGCUGCUCAGGUCAGUCUGGUGGCCGGCCAGGCUGACCACGAGAUGGAGUCAGGUCUUGUCGGACGCGCCCAAAACUCCUUCUUGCAGGUGGAAGAAGACCGAAAGCCUUGUCUUUGUGUUCAUU